rnacentral:piRNA from 1 species
UAGAUUCAUGGAUAUGACAACACAGAACUGC